GUCAGCUUGUGUUGCGUAUGGAUGCACAAAUAGAUUCUCAAAAAAAAUUCCGGGCAUAACUUUUCACACAAGUAGAAUGAGAUGGGAUGAAUUUAUAACUCGAAACUAAGGUAAAAUUAUAUACGUAACCGAGUUAGAUAGAGCUUAAUAAAACAGAUUCUCCUACUUUGCUGCUGCUAAGAAAAAUUGGUUUUCAGAAAUCUUGAGAAGCAGAAAAUGCUAGAACUAUUUCGCACAGCGGUUGAAAACUAUUUAAAGCCGAAGAGAGACAUCUCAGCCCAAUUGCUUAGUCAGCUACUGUUGCGAGUUCAGCGUACGAUCGGAUUAGCUUUCUUUUUGCAUUGCGUUGUAUUUUAAUCCUUUUAGCAGUCUGAAGUAUAACUACUGAUUAUAUUGCGUGAUAUUGUGAACACUUGUAUGAAUAUCUCGA
rnacentral:lncRNA from 1 species